rnacentral:rRNA from 1 species
UACGGAGGAUCCGAGCGUUAUCCAGAUUUAUUGGGUUUAAAGGGUGCGCAGGCGGGAGAUUAAGUCGGCGGUGAAAUUUUGCAGCUCAACUGUAAAAGUGCCUUCGAAACUGGUUUCCUUGAGUGUAGAUGAAGUAGGCGGAAUUUGUGGUGUAGCGGUGAAAUGCAUAGAUAUCACGAGGAACUCCGAUUGCGCAGGCAGCUUACUAAACUACUACUGACGCUCAGGCACGAAGGCGUGGGGAUCAAACAGGAUUAGAUACCCGGGUAGU